rnacentral:rRNA from 1 species
UACGGGGGGGGCAAGCGUUGUUCGGAAUUACUGGGUGUAAAGGGCUCGUAGGCGGCCAACUAAGUCAGACGUGAAAUCCCUCGGCUUAACCGGGGAACUGCAUCUGAUACUGGAUGGCUUGAGUUCGGGAGAGGGAUGCGGAAUUCCAGGUGUAGCGGUGAAAUGCGUAGAUAUCUGGAGGAACACCGGUGGCGAAGGCGGCAUCCUGGACCGACACUGACGCUGAGGAGCGAAAGCCAGGGGAGCAAACGGG